GUCUUCCCAGGCAGAAAUGCUUGGGCCUCAUUGAAGC
rfam:Azospirillum sp. B510 DNA, complete genome.